AAGUGAGAGCCCCCAGGGGUCCCUGUGGCUACCGCAAUGCAGAAAUAUAAAAAACUGGAAAAGAUUGGGGAAGGCACCUGCUGGACAUUGUUCAAGGUCAAAAACCGGAAGACUCAGGAGAUCCUGGCUCUGAAAUGGGUGAGGCUGGAUGAUGAUGCUGAGGAUGUACCGAGUUCCGCCCUCUGGGAGUUCUGCCUACUCAAGGAGCUGAAGCACAAAAAUGUCAUCAGGCUUCAUGACAUCCUGCACAGCAACGAGAAGCUGACUUUGGUUUUUGAAUUCUGUGACCAGGACCUGAAGAAGUAUUUUGACAGGUGCAGUGGUGCCCUUGACCCUGAGAUCAUAAAGUCCUUCCUCCUCCAGCUGCUAAAAGGCCUGGGAUUCUGUCAUAGCCACAAUGUGGUACACAGGGACCUGAAGCCCCAGAACCUGCUAAUGAACAGGAAUGGGAAAAUUAAAUUGGCUGAUUUUGGCCAGGCUCGAGCCUUUGGGAUCCCCAUCCGCUGUUGCUCAGCUGGGUGGUCACACUGUGGUACCGCCCACCAGAUGUCCUCUUUGGGGCCAAGCUGUACUCCACAGCCAUCAACAUGUAUCAGCCAACUGCAUCUUUGCGGAGCUGGGCAAUGCUGGGUGGCCUCUUUUUCCUGACAAUGAUGUCGAUGAACAGUUGAAGAGGUUCUUCUAGCUCCUGGGGAUGCCCACCAAGGAGCAGUGGCCCUCCACGACCAAACUGCCAGACUACAAGCCCUACCCAAUGUACCCAGACACAACAUCCCUGGUGAACAUCAUGCCCAAACUCAAUGCCACAGGGAGGGGCCUGCUGUAGAAUCUUCUGAUAUGUAACCCCGUCCAACGUAUCUCAGCAUUAGAGGCCCUGCAGCAGCCCUACUUCUCCAACUUCUGUCCACUCUAG